CCAGGACACCCUGGACCAGAUGGUUCUUCCGGGGAAAAAGGCGUCAUGGGUGCUCGAGGCUUUACAGGUCACAAAGGAGAACAAGGUGGUCAAGGAAUACCAGGACCUACGGUCGACCAGAACACCAGAAAUUUAAUGAAAAGGUGUUGUGACCCUGUAACUGGCUAUCAGUCAAUAAUAGAACAAAUUAUAGAAAAUAUAACUCAAAUGAAAAUUGAUAAGCUGAAUGGUUAUGACAAACCAGCGUUUCACGUAGGAGG